rnacentral:misc_RNA from 1 species
AACGCACAUUGCGCCCUCUGGUAUUCCGGAGGGCAUGCCUGUUCGAGCGUCAUUAUCACCCUCAAGCUUUGCUUGGUAUUGGAUCUUUCGUCCCCUUUUCAUAGGGGGGCGGGUCCGAAAGAUAGCGGCGGUGCGGCCGGUCCUCGAGCGCAGUAACAUACUAUCGCCCAGAUGGACCCGGACGUGCCUGCCGGACAACAACCCAAAUUUUAUCUUAUGGUUGACCUCGGAUCAGGUAGGGAUACCCGCUGAACUUAA